GACGAACGCUGGCGGCGUGCUUAACACAUGCAAGUCGAGCGGAAAGGCCCUUCGGGGUACUCGAGCGGCGAACGGGUGAGUAACACGUGAGCAACCUACCCUCAGCUCCGGGAUAGCUCCGGGAAACCGGAAUUAAUACCGGAUACGACCACGAUCGACAUCGGCCGUGGUGGAAAGGAUUCCGGCUGAGGAUGGGCUCGCGGCCUAUCAGCUAGUUGGUGGGGUAACGGCCCACCAAGGCUUCGACGGGUAGCCGGCCUGAGAGGGCGA
rnacentral:rRNA from 1 species